rnacentral:lncRNA from 1 species
UGUAUUGACUUUUUAUGAAAAGAUUUCAGUGCCGUCAGUUUGCUUUUUUUUCUCGUUUUAUGUUGUGAAUUACCAUCUUUUUUUUUUUCUUUCACAGCUGUGCUCUUUACUUACAAGUGCCUUAUUAGUGACCCGAAAACAAGUGGGGUAUGGAAAAAUAUAUUUACUAAGAAUUUAUCUCAGUCUUCAGUUCUUUUGUCCUUUAUUAGUGAGAAGAAUAGUACUAAAGUAGGAAACGGAGCAGUCAAAGAUUCUCAGCACGGCAAAGGUGAUAGUAAUGUUGACAAAAAAUCUACUCCAGGAGUAGACUUGCAGUCCUUGUUUGGAAGCCUCCUCAAAACAGCAAAUGACCUGUCCGAAAAGAAGAAAAGCCAAGAGGGUCUUCAAGAGUGUAAAAAAUGUGGAAAAUUACUGGAGAGCCUUACGCAAACAAAAAUGUCCGCCAAAUCAAAAGCCAACAAACAACAGAAAUCCUCCUUCUCAUGGAAGGUAUUACUUUUCGUCAUUAUAUUUGCAGCCGCAUCGCUGAUCGCCUAUGAUAUCAACAAACAUGGCAGUUUUAAAGGUAAGUUGCUCAAGAUCAGAUUUUCAAGAACUUACCGAAACAGUUUCCCUUGAAAUUUUGUUUUAUAGUUCUUCAAGGACAAAAGGAAA